rnacentral:rRNA from 1 species
AUACGGAGGGUGCAAGCGUUGUUCGGAAUUACUGGGCGUAAAGCGCGUGCAGGCGGUAAGGUAAGUCAGAUGUGAAAGCCCCGGGCUCAACCCGGGAAGUGCAUUUGAUACUGCCUUUCUUGAGUAUGGGAGAGGAGAGUGGAAUUCCCAGUGUAGAGGUGAAAUUCGUAGAUAUUGGGAGGAACACCCGUGGCGAAGGCGACUCUCUGGACCAAUACUGACGCUGAGACGCGAAAGCGUGGGGAGCGAACAGGAUUAGAAACCCUAGUAGUCC